AAGUAAGAAGCGAUUUUUGCACCCAGUUUCGACCUGGUUCUAGGUGGUCACACCCUUACUUA
rnacentral:tRNA from 1 species